UACGGGGGGGGCAAGCGUUGUUCGGAAUUACUGGGCGUAAAGGGCUCGUAGGUGGCCAACUAAGUCACACGUGAAAUCCCCGGGCUUAACCCGGGAACUGCGUGUGAUACUGGAUGGCUUGAAUUCGGGAGAGGGAUGCAGAAUUCCAGGUGUAGCGGUGAAAUGCGUAGAUAUCUGGAGGAAUACCGGUGGCGAAGGCGGCAUCCUGGACCGACAUUGACGCUGAACGGCGAAAGCUAGGGGAGCAAACGGG
rnacentral:rRNA from 1 species